UUCAUCUCCGCCGUACAAGAGAGCGUUGUUUUAUUUUUUUUUUGAGAAAAAGCGUUGUUUUAUCUUCUUCCUAAAAAUCUUCAUUCAAUGCAUUUUCCCUUUUCACAAAGCGUUCAAUCUCAAGCUAUAAAAAGGUGAGGCGUCAUCCAUGACCAUCAUUCCUCACAAUUCUAAAUAGCCUCUGAAACUUCUUCAUUAAAAUAUUUAUUUUACAAGACAAUUCGUGUCCGUUCGAUUUCUACUCCGGCCACCUUCUCUGAGAAACCGUAAAAGUUUGAUGAGGAAUAGGAAAGGCAGAGGAAAUUGCAAGUACAAUUCAGCGUUGUUGAUGUUGUUCGUGAGGAAGCUUUGCGCAUCUACAGAUUUGCAGAAACAACAACGAGAAAAGGUACCAAAAGAGCAAAUGGAACCGAAAUUAAACUCAAAAAUUCUUACAUCUAUGUUUAGUAAAUGGGUUCGACACCGGUGUCUUUUGUUUGAUUUUUGUAUCAGAUAGUCAAGAUUGUAACUUUUGAGCUCACCUUACUUCGACUCUGUAAUUUCAUUGAUGCGGUUGGAAUGAACUUAACUCACUGUUCUGGGUCGUUACGUCAUUACAUAUAUAAAGAGAAUCUUUAAUCUACUUCACUAGAAUCUAUGUGGGAGCUACAAGAUUCUUAGUGUUUUGUCAUGAUCAAAUCUUCUGUUUAGCUUUCUCUGAUUCUAAUUGAAGUUUGCCACUCUUUUGGCUUUAAAAUUCUGAUUUCUGUGUCAAAAAGUUUCUUAGUAAUAGAAAACGUCAAGACUUUUCUUAUCAUGAAAAAAAACAGAAACUAUAUUACUUAGAUUGUUAUUUCUUGCUUUUAUGAUAAUCGUAGUUGCUUUUGAGCUCAUGGUGGUUGUACAAUUACAUGUAUUUAAUCCUACAUAAAUGAAAGCCCAUGAAUUUGUAAGGCGUGUUUGAAGACCUUUGCAGCGAAAGGGGAUGAAUGGGCAGGAGAAUGCAGAUAAAGGAUGCUGAUCAUGGUGGCAGGUGGUGAUUGUAACUCAAAGAAUGGCAUGAUGCAUUUGAUAUACCCAACUUGGCUCUGUAAUCUCUAAAAAUCCUUCAGUCCCGAUUCUAACAAGAAAACAUCAGGAUUUUACCAGAGUCAAGCCAAGUUUUGAUUUGUCUACACUUGAUCGAUAUGUAGAAACUUUUUGCACAAUAAUUUGUAACUUCCAUUUCUCUGAUUAAAAUAGUUAUUAUUACCUUCAUUUGUUUAAAAUACAGUAAGAUUAUGUCCUUUGUAGCUUCGUUCUUUUCUGCAAUAUAUGUAACACAAUGGAAAGAAUUAAAAUAUGCUCCUUUCAGCUCAAAA